rnacentral:rRNA from 1 species
CAUGCAAGUCGAACGGUAGAGGGGGCAACCCCUUGAGAGUGGCGAACGGGUGAGUAAUAUAUCGGAACGUGCCCAGUCGUGGGGGAUAACGUAGCGAAAGUUACGCUAAUACCGCAUACGAUCUAUGGAUGAAAGCGGGGGACCGUAAGGCCUCGCGCGAUUGGAGCGGCCGAUAUCAGAUUAGGUAGUUGGUGGGGUAAAGGCUCACCAAGCCAACGAUCUGUAGCUGGUCUGAGAGGACGACCAGCCACACUGGAACUGAGACACGGUCCAGACUCCUACGGGAGGCAGCAGUGGGGAAUAUUGGGCAAUGGGCGAAAGCCUGACCCAGCGACGCCGCGUGAGGGAUGAAGGUCUUCGGAUUGUAAACCUCUUUCAGUAGGGAAGAAGCGAAAGUGACGGUACCUAAAGAAGAAGCACCGGCUAACUAUGUGCCAGCAGCCGCGGUAAUACAUAGGGUGCAAGCGUUGUCCGGAAUUAUUGGGCGUAAAGAGCUCGUAGGUCGUUUGUCGCGUCGAUUGUGAAAAUCUGAGGCUCAACCUCAGACCUGCAGUCGAUACGGGCAAACUAGAGUGUGGUAGGGGAGACUGGAAUUCCUGGUGUAGCGGUGGAAUGCGCAGAUAUCAGGAGGAACACCAAUGGCGAAGGCAGGUCUCUGGGCCAUAACUGACACUGAGGAGCGAAAGUGCGGGGAGCGAACAGGAUUAGAUACCCUGGUAGUCCGCACCGUAAACGGUGGGCACUAGUUGUGGGAAUCUUC